UACAAAGGGGGCUAGCGUUGUUCGGAAUUACUGGGCGUAAAGCGCACGUAGGCGGAUUUGUAAGUCAGGGGUGAAAUCCCGGGGCUCAACCUCGGAACUGCCUUUGAUACUGCAAGUCUCGAGUCCGAUAGAGGUGAGUGGAAUUCCUAGUGUAGAGGUGAAAUUCGUAGAUAUUAGGAAGAACACCAGUGGCGAAGGCGGCUCACUUGAUCGGUACUGACGCUGAGGUGCGAAAGCGUGGGGAGCAAACAGG
rnacentral:rRNA from 1 species